GCCUUCGUGGUGUAGUGGUCAGCACGCUCGACGCGUAACCGAGAGGUCCGUGGUUCGAUUCCCCGCUAAGGCU
rnacentral:tRNA from 1 species